rnacentral:lncRNA from 1 species
UGGACAUUUGGGUUGUUUCCAACUCUUGGGUGUUGUGAAUAAUGCUGCCAUGAACAAAGAUGUAUAGCUGUUUUGGUGCGUUUUGUAUGGCUAGAAACAAAAUCGCUAGAAUACAGAAUAAAUUCAACUUUAGAAGGAUUUCAUAAAAAGGCUUUAUAUGCAAAGCAAUGGACAAACACAGAAAAUGCCAGGAAACCUAAGAAGGAGGAAAACAAAUCAAGCACGUGUCCUUAUAGGGCAGUUUGACCAAGGAACAUAACAGACAGAAGUAUGGUCUUGAGUGGCCACAAGGCAAGUAGAUCUCCAUCCUAUUGACCCCCAGAACCAGGGAU